UCCAGACUCCUACGGGAGGCAGCAGUGGGGAAUAUUGCACAAUGGGGGAAACCCUGAUGCAGCGACGCCGCGUGAGUGAAGAAGUAUCUCGGUACGUAAAGCUCUAUCAGCAGGGAAGAAAAUGACGGUACCUGACCAAGAAGCCCCGGCUAACUACGUGCCAGCAGCCGCGGUAAUACGUAGGGGGCGAGCGUUAUCCGGAAUUACUGGGUGUAAAGGGAGCGUAGACGGCGAGGUAAGCCUGAAGUGGAAGCCCGCGGCCCAACCGCGGAACUGCUUUGGGAACUGUUUUGCUGGAGUAUGGGAGGGGUAAGCGGAAUUCCUGGUGUAGCGGUGAAAUGCGUAGAUAUCAGGAGGAACACCGGUGGCGAAGGCGGCUUACUGGACCAUAACUGACGUUGAGGCUCGAAAGCGUGGGGAGCAAACAGGAUUAGAUACCCCGGUAAG
rnacentral:rRNA from 1 species